GACGAACGCUGGCGGCGUGCUUAACACAUGCAAGUCGAACGGAAAGGCCCUGCUUUUGUGGGGUGCUCGAGUGGCGAACGGGUGAGUAACAAGUGAGUAACCUGCCCUUGACUUUGGGAUAACUUCAGGAAACUGGGGCUAAUACCGGAUAGGAGCUCCUGCUGCAUGGUGGGGGUUGGAAAGUUUCGGCGGUUGGGGAUGGACUCGCGGCUUAUCAGCUUGUUGGUGGGGUAGUGGCUUACCAAGGCUUUGACGGGUAGCCGGCCUGAGAGGGUGACCGGCCACACUGGGACUGAGAUACGGCCCAGACUCCUACGGGAGGCAGCAGUGGGGAAUAUUGCACGAUGGGCGGAAGCCUGAUGCAGCAACGCCGCGUGCGGGAUGACGGCCUUCGGGUUGUAAACCGCUUUCGCCUGUGACGAAGCGUGAGUGACGGUAAUGGGUAAAGAAGCACCGGCUAACUACGUG
rnacentral:rRNA from 1 species